AGAGAGAGACAUGCGCGCAUAUCAAUAAGCGGAGGAAAAGAAACUAACAAGGAUUCCCUUAGUAAUGGCGAGUGAAGCGGGAAGAGCUCAAAUUUGAAAUCUUCAAGGUUUUACCUUGACGAAUUGUAGUUUAAAGAAGUGUUUUCUGCUGAAGUUUUGGUAAAAGUUCUUUGGAAUAGGACAUCAUAGAGGGUGAGAAUCCCGUAUUUGACCAUUAUUUUCAGCUUUGUGAUACACUUUCAAAGAGUCGGAUUGUUUGGGAAUGCAGUCCAAAAUGGGUGGUAAAUUUCAUCUAAAGCUAAAUAUUGGCGAGAGACCGAUAGCGAACAAGUACCGUGAGGGAAAGAUGAAAAGAACUUUGAAAAGAGAGUUAAACAGUACGUGAAAUUGUCAAAAGGGAAGCGUUUGACACCAGUGUUGUUUUCUCGAAAAUCAAUUAAAAAUGGCUCGAUUUUGUAUUGCUUGAGACCUUAAAAGCUCACUGUACAUUUUUCGUGUCUUUUUUAAUGCACUUUUCGUUUAACAAGUCAACAUCAGUUUCUUUUGUUGUAAAAGGGUCAUUGGAAGGUGGCUUUCUUUUCGGAGAAAGUGUUUAUAGCCUUUGGCCUCUGCAAUCGAAGAGACUGAGGUCUGCAGCGUAGACUCUUCGGGGUUAGAUACAUUUGUGCUAAGUUAUAGCUUUUUAUAGACAACUUGUUGACUAUAAUUAGUCUUGUAGCUUACUCGCUUAUGCUAUUUUACCUACGCUUAGGAUGUUGAAGAUGUAGCACAUCAU
rnacentral:rRNA from 1 species